AUUGAACGCUGGCGGCAGGCCUAACACAUGCAAGUCGAGCGGAGCGGCGGACGGGUGAGUAAUGUCUGGGAAACUGCCUGAUGGAGGGGGAUAACUACGCGAAAGCGUAGCUAAUACCGCAUACUAUUGGAGCGGCCGAUAUCGGAUUAGCUAGUUGGUGGGGUAACGGCUCACCAAGGCGACGAUCCGUAGCUGGUUUGAGAGGACGACCAGCCACACUGGGACUGAGACACGGCCCAGACUCCUACGGGAGGCAGCAGUGGGGAAUUUUGGACAAUGGGGGAAACCCUGAUCCAGCCAUCCCGCGUGUGCGAUGAAGGCCUUCGGGUUGUAAAGCACUUUCAGCGAGGAGGCGUUACUCGCAGAAGAAGCACCGGCUAACUCCGUGCCAGCAGCCGCGGUAAUAC
rnacentral:rRNA from 1 species